GAUGAACGCUGGCGGCGUGCCUAACACAUGCAAGUCGAGCGAGAAAUAAAGGAAUGAAGCUUCGGUAGAUUUUCUUUAUGGAAAGCGGCGGACGGGUGAGUAACGCGUAGGCAACCUGCCCUGUACAGGGGGAUAGCCACCCGAAAAGGUGAUUAAUACCCCAUAACGCAAGAGAUACACAUGUAUCACUUGUCAAAGAUUUAUCGGUAUAGGAUGGGCCUGCGUCUGAUUAGCUAGUUGGUAGGGUAACGGCUUACCAAGGCAACGAUCAGUAGCCGACCUGAGAGGGUGAUCGGCCACAUUGGAACUGAGACACGGUCCAAACUCCUACGGGAGGCAGCAGUGGGGAAUAUUGCACAAUGGGCGCAAGCCUGAUGCAGCAACGCCGCGUGAAGGAUGAAGGCCUUCGGGUUGUAAACUUCUGUCCUAGGGGAAGAAACAAAUGACAUUACCCUUGGAGGAAGCCCCGGCU
rnacentral:rRNA from 1 species